rnacentral:rRNA from 1 species
CUGGGAGAACACCAGGUGGAUAGGGCGGGAGUGGAAGCGCGGCAACGCGUGGAGCGGACCGCCACUAACCGGUCGAAGGCUUGGCCGAAA